rnacentral:rRNA from 1 species
GACGAACGCUGGCGGCGUGCUUAACACAUGCAAGUCGAACGGAAAGGCCCUGCUUUGGUGGGGUGCUCGAAUGGCGAAAUGGUGAGUAACACGUGAGUAACCUGCCCUUGACUUUGUGAUAACUUCAGGAAACUGGGGCUAAUAACGGAUAGGAGCUCCUGCUGCAUGGUGGGGGUUGGAAAGUUUCGGCGGUUGGGGAUGGACUCGCGGCUUAUCAGCUUGUUGGUGGGGUAGUGGCUUACCAAGGCUUUGACGGGUAGCCGGCCUGAGAGGGUGACCGGCCACAUUGGGACUGAGAUACGGCCCAGACUCCUCCGGGAGGCAGAGGUGGGGAAAAUUGCACAAUGGGCGGAAGCCUGAGACAGCAACGCCGCGUGCGAGAUAACGGCCUUCUGGUAGUAAACCGCUUUCGCCUGUGACGAAGCGUGAGUGACGGUAAUGUAUAAAGAAGCACCGGCUAACUACGUG